rnacentral:rRNA from 1 species
CCUACGGGUGGCAGCAGUGGGGCAUAUUGGGCAAUGGACGCAACUCUGACCCAGCAACGCCGCGUGAAUGAUGAAGGUCUUCGGAUUGUAAAGUUCUUUUCUCAGGGAAGAAGGAAGUGACGGUACCUUAGGAAUAAGCCUCGGCUAACUACGUGCCAGCAGCCGCGGUAAUACGUAGGAGGCAAGCGUUAUUCGGAAUGACUGGGCGUAUAGGGUGCGUAGGUGGUUUGACAAGUGAGGAGCGCAACUCCGGAGCUCAACUUAGGAACUACUACUAAAACUGUUGGACUUGAGUGUAGGAGAGGGAAUCGGAAUUCCUGGUGUAGCGGUGGAAUGCGUAGAUAUUAGGAGGAACACCAGUGGCGAAGGCGAAUUGCUAGACUGUAACUGACACUGAGGCACGAAAGCGUGGGGAGCAAACAGGAUUAGAUACCCGGGUAGUC